rnacentral:misc_RNA from 1 species
GAUGAAGAACGUAGCGAAAUGCGAUACUUGGUGUGAAUUGCAGAAUCCCGUGAACCAUCGAGUCUUUGAACGCAAGUUGCGCCCGAAGCCAUCAGGUUGAGGGCACGUCUGCCUGGGCGUCACAUAUCGUUGCCCAAUGCCUAUUGCAGUGCAAUAGGAAUUUCUAGGGCGAAUGAUGGCUUCCCGUGAGCGUUGUUGCCUCGCGGUUGGUUGAAAAUCGAGUCCUUGGUAGGGUGUGCCAUGGUAGAUGGUGGUCGAGUUAGAACGAUACCGAUCAUGUGCAUGCUCCCCAAAAUAUGGCCUCUAUGACCCACACGCGUCUUUUGACGCUCAUGACGAGACCUCAGGUCAGGCGGGGCUACCCGCUGAAUUUAAGCAUAUCAAUAAGCGGAGG